ACGGGUGAGUAACACGUGGGUAACCUACCCAUCAGAGGGGGAUAACACUUGGAAACAGGUGCUAAUACCGCAUAACAGUCGACACCGCAUGGUGUUGAUUUGAAAGACGCUUUCGGGUGUCACUGAUGGACGGACCCGCGGUGCAUUAGCUAGUUGGUGAGGUAACGGCUCACCAAGGCCAUGAUGCAUAGCCGACCUGAGAGGGUGAUCGGCCACACUGGGACUGAGACACGGCCCAGACUCCUACGGGAGGCAGCAGUAGGGAAUCUUCGGCAAUGGACGAAAGUCUGACCGAGCAACGCCGCGUGAGUGAAGAAGGUUUUCGGAUCGUAAAACUCUGUUGUUAGAGAAGAACAAGUAGGAGAGUAACUGCUCUUACCUUGACGGUAUCUAACCAGAAAGCCACGGCUAACUACGUGCCAGCAGCCGCGGUAAUACGUAGGUGGCAAGCGUUGUCCGGAUUUAUUGGGCGUAAAGCGAGCGCAGGCGGUUUCUUAAGUCUGAUGUGAAAGCCCCCGGCUCAACCGGGGAGGGUCAUUGGAAACUGGGAGACUUGAGUGCAGAAGAGG
rnacentral:rRNA from 1 species